UACGGAGGGUGCAAGCGUUAUCCGGAUUCACUGGGUUUAAAGGGUGCGUAGGUGGGCUAGUAAGUCCGUGGUGAAAUCUCCAAGCUUAACUUGGAAACUGCCGUGGAUACUAUUAGUCUUGAAUCUCGGGGAGGUAAGCGGAAUAUGUCAUGUAGCGGUGAAAUGCUUAGAUAUGACAUAGAACACCGAUAGCGAAGGCAGCUUGCUACACGAGUAUUGACACUGAGGCACGAAAGCGUGGGGAUCAAACAGG
rnacentral:rRNA from 1 species